rnacentral:rRNA from 1 species
GACGAACGCUGGCGGCGUGCUUAACACAUGCAAGUCGAACGGUGAAGGGAUCAGCUUGCUGGUUCUGGAUGAGUGGCGAACGGGUGAGUAACACGUGAGUAACCUGCCCCCUUCUUCUGGAUAACCGCAUGAAAGUGUGGCUAAUACGGGAUAUUCUGGGUCUGUCGCAUGAUGGGUCUGGGAAAGAUAUUGUUUCGGUGGGGGUUGGGCUCGCGGCCUCUCAGUUUGUUGGUGGGGUGAUGGCCUACCAAGGCGGUGACGGGGAGCCGGCCUGAGGGGGGGCACGGUCGCACUUGGACCACGGCCCAGACCACACUGGUACGGAGCAGUGCAGUAGCGUACGCAGAACGCGGGGGGCUAGCCGAAUGCAGCGGCGCCGGGUGAGGGGUGCUGGCCUUCGGGUUGUAAACCUCUUUCGCAAGAGAAGCAGGCCUGCUCCUUGUGGAUGGGUUGACGGUAGCUAGAUAAGAAGCGCCGGCUAACUACGUG